rnacentral:tRNA from 1 species
GGGAAUGUGGCUUAGUGGUAGAGUGCUUGCCUAGCCUGCAGGAAGCCCUGGGUUCAAUUCCCCAGUACCA